GCAAAGAGCAGGAUGUAGGCCUGUGUACACAGUGGGGUGGCAGCUGUUAGCUUUGCAACCGCUGGCAUGGGAUUUGAGUCACAAGCCUACACUGUACUUUGGAGCUCCCUUCUGCCCUCGGAACUCCUGCAAAGGGCUGUGCUUCCUUGUACGACGAUGAAGAGAAAAGGUCCCCAGCAGUCUCUUACAGACAGCCUGCCGCUUUCUGUUUAUGAACAUGGCAACCCGCCUUUCCUUCUGCCUGGGAAUGUGAUGGCUCCAGUGUUUUUAUUUUUCUAACUCCUUGUGAUAACCUUGGGCUGGGGCAUUAUGUACUCGAAGCUCGAGGCUAAAUAAAUCAGCUCACAUCCUAGAGUCCCUGUUGUCACCACAUUGGACAUUGAACUUGAUGGAGUCCCUUGAUGGAAACCAAGUGUGAACCCUGGGGAUGGGAUUGCACAACCCAAGGAAGGACAGUCAAGGACAUGAAAAUAAUGUUUGGCUCGGAGCCCCGGAAUGGAGUCGGAACAACAGAGAGCGAGUAUUUCCAGACAAGUGAGGAAAUUCCCAGAAGCUAGCGGCCAAGGAACGUGAAUCCUGGAGAACAGGCUUGAGAUGAAGAAAGGAUUCCACAUCUCCUACGAAGCUGCUGAUUUUCCUUCCUCCCUCAGCAGCGACCCCCCCGAACUCCCCACUCACAGGGUGUUCCAGAAUAUAAAGGUGACACUGUAAUUGCAUUCAUCUAGCAGAGUCGGAUCCAUUGAAAAUAGCGAGAGGGCUGACAAGUUUUGGCAGCUGCGGGCUCACAGAUCACGAAGUAAGGAGGACAAAGACCAAGUUUUAGGAUUUUGACCUAAUGGCUUGAUAGUGUUUUCUGAGGUAGGCCGGGUGUCUCAAAACUCCUUCUGUUUCAUGACCUUUGCUGGGCCAGGGGCUCCUGGUGCUCCUGUCCGCUGCCCAGGGAGGUCCCCUACUCAGCUAGUGGUAUCCAUCAGGGUCCAGGGAGGGCCCCUCUCCUGUCUGGGGAACCUCUGUGCACUCUGUCCCCCUUCAUUCUUUUCCACCUUCCUCCCUCUCAUGAUUGUCACCCCAUCUCCCCAUCCUCAUCUUUCCUCAGCCUCCAGUGGGGUUAUUAAUCCCCUUCUGGUGGCACUCAACCCGCCACGAUGCUGCCUCCCAGCUGACACCACCAAUGACAGCAAUGACAACCGCUACAGGAAUUGCUUUCCAGGGUUCCAAGAAGGUUUCAGCUGCACGACGCCCUUCACUCCUCACAAUAGACACGGGAAAAUGGGUAGAUUCUAGGUUAUUUUUCUAAAGAUGCAUGUAUUAGGUUAUGGUAUGCAUUUGGCUUUUUUGAGACAUCACAUAUUUGAAAAAAAGAUUUUUGUUGUUGUUGACCAAUAUACAAUAAAGCUUUUUAGGGGGUUAUA